UUGACUACAUUUUUUCAUGUCAAUUGACCACUAGGUUUUUUUAGUUGAAAAGUGAGUUUCGUGUUUCAAUAUUGUGAUUUCGAUAUUGUUAAUCUACACUAUAUUCAUUCUCAAGAAAUAUGUCACUGCUUUGGAUUUAAUUAAUGAUAUAUUAUAGAACUGAAAACUAACUAAAACUGGAUUUAGAUUUUUAAUGGCUAGAUGUAAAUAUAGUGAACAACAAUCAGCAUUCGCAUCUGGUUGAGCAGUUUAUUGCACAAGCGCUUUAUGAAAUCUUACUUCCUCAAAGGUACCUGUACUACCAUCGCUGUUGACUUCCUACAUAAUUAUAUCUAUUUUUAUAUCAAUUAAUGUUAUUUGUUACUGCAAAGUGAAAUAAUAAAUGAACUUAAAAUA